UCAAUCUCAUCAGUCAAUCUACAUAGUCAUUGCAACAAUUGAAUUAAACAUCAUCCAUUCAGUCAACUAUUUGUCCAUCUGAAUGGUGGUUGAAUCAACCCAAUGGCACAGCCACCUUCAAAUUCAAAGAGAUACAUGGUAGGGUUUCCUUACCUUGGAGAGAAGGGGAAGCAGCGGACGGGAGGGUCGGCGACAGGCGUCGGGCGAGAUCCAGCCGGGAGAGAUGGGUGACCGGGUGAGGUGAGGGAGGCGGAUGGGAGUGGAGGCGGCGGAGAGUAGGGGAGGCGGACGGGAGGGGGCGCCGAAGGGCGUCGGGCGAGGUCCAGCCGGGAGAGAUGGAUGAAUGUGAGGGGAGGUGGCGGAUGGCAGUGGAGGCGGCGGAGAGUAGGGGAGGCGACGGGAGGGCCAGCGACCGGCGUCAGGCGAGAUCCAGCCGGGAGAGAUGGGUGACCGGGUGAGGGGAGGCGGCGGAGGGUAGGGGAGGCGACGGAUGGCAGGGGAGGCGGCGGUGGAUGCGCCUGGCGGCGGGGGCGGAGUGACGGGGGUGAGAGGGGUGACGAUAGGGUUCGGGCGGAGAUAGCUGGAGCACGCACGAUUCGCGUGACGCGCGGAAUCUACUGUGUUGGCGUGGUCCGUUGGUUUCGAAGAAACACAAGCGAACCCGCAUCUUGCCCGAAUAUUCGCUCGUAGGUCCGAAUAUUUUUUAUAAUCUAUAUACCUUAUAUCGAUAUCUAUACCUAUAUAUAUAUAUAUAUA
rnacentral:lncRNA from 1 species